ACAGCUGAGUUUAAGAAUAUCAAUAAGCGAAAGAAAAGAAACUUACAAAGAUUUUCUUAGUAACGGCGAGCGAACCGAGAACAGUCCAGCCUUAGAAUCGGGCAGCUCUGUCAUCCGAAUUAUAGUUUGGAGAAGCGUCCUCAGCAGCGGACGGGCCCCAGUCCCGUGGAAGGGGGCGUUAAAAAGGGUGAGAGCCCCAUUAUGCCUGAACCCUGUCGCACCACGAGGCACUCUCUACGAGUCGAAUUGUUUGGAAAUGUAGCCUAAAUUGGGCAGUGAAUUCCAUCCAACGGUAAAUAUGGGCGACAGACCGAUAGUGAACAAGUACCGCGAGGGUAAGAUAAAAAGGACUUUGAAAAGAGAGUCAAAGAGUGCUUGAAAUUAUCUGGAGGAAAGCGGUUGGGGGCCGAUGAUGCACCCUGAUCGAAAGUAGAAUGGUGAUGAGCUAGUCCACCGAUCGACUCGGGGUGUGGACCAGCGUGGAUUUGGGGUCGGCCAAAGCCUGGGCUUUCAAUACGCUCGUGGAAUGCUGUCUCCUCAAUUGUGGCCGGCAGCACGCCCCUCCGGUGUUCUUCGACAUCUGCGCGCUACGGAUGCUGGCUUGUGGGUUCCCUAUUUUACCCAUCUUGAAAAAUGG
rnacentral:ncRNA from 1 species